UCCCAAGAUGGCGUCUGGAUGACGGAGCAGGAGGAGGGACGCGUAGCGGCAGGCUGGCCGUCUCUGCAGGCUCCUGCUGUUCUCCAGCUGAGGUAUGACUCCUCUCAGUCUUCCGGCAUCAGGCUCCAUCCUCCCUACGAGUGCUGGUUGCAAACUAUAAAAUCCAAUCGGGCUGGUUUAAGCAAGCAGAAUUUAUUGAGACUUCUUAGUAGUUCUGACUCACUGGGAGAUCUGAAGAAAAAGACACUCAAGACUGGUCUCCUGGGAACGCAACCCAGAAGCGACCCGAUGAGAACGCUGCUGCCACCACCACUCUUUGCCACCACCUUCACUUGCAAAAUGGAAUCUAUUGAUCGCUUGUCCUGCUGUUCCAGCCCACAGCAUGCUAUGAGGCUCCCAACAGUGUCCCGGACAGGUCGAGGAAAAUGAGCGUGGCAUCUCCUUAAGGAAGCAUGUCUCAGAUUCUACACCAGCCUGCAUGUUGCAAGAUUGCGUCCCACCCGAUGAUUUUCCUCGGGUUCCAGUCUUUGUUCACUGCUGGGGCUUUUUCAAUGGCUGCCAGGCAGCAGGGCCUGCGCUCCCAACCCCUGCCCACAGAGUCUCCGGGCGGCCAGCAGGGAGCGAGAAGGGAAAGAAGGCGGCGCCGCAAGCCCCGGCCGGCCCGGCAGCAUCACCCCAGCGCCCCAGCGAGGCCGCUUCCUCCUGGCUUUCCCUGCGCCUUCGGCACCCAGCAGCCCCCAGACGUCAGAUGGGGACUCGCUGGGCUCAUCUCCGCAGCUGACAGUGACCCCGACCAGAUGUUUCUCCGGAGGCCUUCGCCCCCUCCCGUUAGGCAGCAAUGGCACCAGGGCUGCAGCGAGGGGGCUGGGCGGCGGGCCACAGCUGGCAAGCAGCUUUUGUUCUGG
rnacentral:lncRNA from 1 species